CGGGUGCGUAACGCGUAUACAAUUUGCCUUAUACUGGAGGAUAGCCCGGAGAAAUCCGGAUUAAUACUCCAUAAUAUUAUUAUAUCGCAUGAUAUUGAUAAUUAAAGCUUUCGAGUGGUAUAAGAUGAGUAUGCGUCCUAUUAGUUAGUUGGUGAGGUAACGGCUCACCAAGACAGCGAUAGGUAGGGGGCCUGAGAGGGUUAUCCCCCCACACUGGUACUGAGACACGGACCAG
rnacentral:rRNA from 1 species